CUCUAUUUCUAUACCAUCCUGAACUUGCUUGAUCUUGUCUGAUCUUAGAAGCUAAAUAGAAUUGGGCCUGGUUAGUACUUGGCUGGGAGAAUACCUGGUUCCAUGAGC
rnacentral:rRNA from 1 species